rnacentral:rRNA from 1 species
GAAGGAGUGGCUAAUACCGCAUACGCCCUACGGGGGAAAGGGGGGGAUCGCAAGACCUCUCACUAUUGGAGCGGCCGAUAUCGGAUUAGCUAGUUGGUGGGGUAAAGGCUCACCAAGGCAACGAUCCGUAGCUGGUUUGAGAGGACGACCAGCCACACUGGGACUGAGACACGGCCCAGACUCCUACGGGAGGCAGCAGUGGGGAAUUUUGGACAAUGGGGGAAACCCUGAUCCAGCCAUCCCGCGUGUAUGAUGAAGGCCUUCGGGUUGUAAAGUACUUUUGGCAGAGAAGAAAAGGUAUCCCCUAAUACGGGAUACUGCUGACGGUAUCUGCAGAAUAAGCACCGGCUAACUACGUGCCAGCAGCCGCGGUAAUACGUAGGGUGCAAGCGUUAAUCGGAAUUACUGGGCGUAAAGCGUGUGUAGGCGGUUCGGAAAGAAAGAUGUGAAAUCCCAGGGCUCAACCUUGGAACUGCAUUUUUAACUGCCGAGCUAGAGUAUGUCAGAGGGGGGUAGAAUUCCACGUGUAGCAGUGAAAUGCGUAGAUAUGUGGAGGAAUACCGAUGGCGAAGGCAGCCCCCUGGGAUAAUACUGACGCUCAGACACGAAAGCGUGCGGAGCAAACAGGAUUAGAUACCCUGGUAGUCCACGCCCUAAACGAUGUCAACUAGCUGUUGGGGCCGUUAGGCCUUAUUAUCGCAGCUAACGCGUGAAGUUGACCGCCUGGGGC